GGCGCGCGAUACAGGGUGACAGCCCCGUACACAAAAAUGCACAUGCUGUGAGCUCGAUGAGUAGGGCGGGACACGUGGUAUCCUGUCUGAAUAUGGGGGGACCAUCCUCCAAGGCUAAAUACUCCUGACUGACCGAUAGUGAACCAGUACCGUGAGGGAAAGGCGAAAAGAACCCCGGCGAGGGGAGUGAAAAAGAACCUGAAACCGUGUACGUACAAGCAGUGGGAGCCUCUUAAUGGGGUGACUGCGUACCUUUUGUAUAAUGGGUCAGCGACUUAUAUUCUGUAGCAAGGUUAACCGAAUAGGGGAGCCGAAGGGAAACCGAGUCUUAACUGGGCGUUAAGUUGCAGGGUAUAGACCCGAAACCCGGUGAUCUAGCCAUGGGCAGGUUGAAGGUUGGGUAACACUAACUGGAGGACCGAACCGACUAAUGUUGAAAAAUUAGCGGAUGACUUGUGGCUGGGGGUGAAAGGCCAAUCAAACCGGGAGAUAGCUGGUUCUCCCCGAAAGCUAUUUAGGUAGCGCCUCGUGAAUUCAUCUCCGGGGGUAGAGCACUGUUUCGGCAAGGGGGUCAUCCCGACUUACCAACCCGAUGCAAACUGCGAAUACCGGAGAAUGUUAUCACGGGAGACACACGGCGGGUGCUAACGUCCGUCGUGAAGAGGGAAACAACCCAGACCGCCAGCUAAGGUCCCAAAGUCAUGGUUAAGUGGGAAACGAUGUGGGAAGGCCCAGACAGCCAGGAUGUUGGCUUAGAAGCAGCCAUCAUUUAAAGAAAGCGUAAUAGCUCACUGGUCGAGUCGGCCUGCGCGGAAGAUGUAACGGGGCUAAACCAUG
rnacentral:rRNA from 1 species